rnacentral:rRNA from 1 species
GACGAACGCUGGCGGCGUGCUUAACACAUGCAAGUCGAACGGAAAGGCCCUGCUUUUGUGUGGUUCUCGAUUGGCGAACGGGUGAGUAACACGUGAGUAACCUGCCCUUGACUUUGGGAUAACUUCAGGAAACUGGGGCUAAUACCGGAUAGGAGCUCCUGCUGCAUGGUGUGGGUUGGAAAGUUUCGGCGGUUGGGGAUGGACUCGCGGCUUACCAGCUUGUUGGUGUGGUAGUGGCUUACCAAGGCUUUGACGGGUAGCCGGCCUGAGAGGGUGACCGGCCACAUUGGGACUGAGAUACGGCCCAGACUCCUACGGGAGGCAGCAGUGGGGAAUAUUGCACAAUGGGCGGAAGCCUGAUGCAGCAACGCCGCGUGCGGGAUGACGGCCUUCGGGUUGUAAACCGCUUUCGCAUGUGACGAAGCGUGAGUGACGGUAAUGGGUAAAGAAGCACCGGCUAACUACGUG